rnacentral:rRNA from 1 species
UACGUGGGGUUCAAGCGUUAAUCGGAAUUACUGGGCGUAAAGCGUGCGCAGGCGGUUUUGUAAGUCUGAUGUGAAAUCCCCGGGCUCAACCUGGGAAUUGCAUUGGAGACUGCAAGGCUAGAAUCUGGCAGAGGGGGGUAGAAUUCCACGUGUAGCAGUGAAAUGCGUAGAGAUGUGGAGGAACACCGAUGGCGAAGGCAGCCCCCUGGGUCAAGAUUGACGCUCAUGCACGAAAGCGUGGGGAGCAAACAGG